rnacentral:rRNA from 1 species
GACAGAGGAUGCAAGCGUUAUCCGGAAUGAUUGGGCGUAAAGCGUCUGUAGGUGGCUUUUAAGUCCGCCGUCAAAUCCCGAGGGCUUCAACCCUGGACAGGCGGUGGAAACUACCAACGCUGGAGUACGGGUAGGGCAGAGGGAAUUUCCGGUGGAGCGGGUGAAAGUGCUGGUGAGAGAUACGGAAAGAACACCAACGGGCGAAAGCACUCUGCUGGGACCGACACUGACACUGGAGAGACGAAAGCUAGGGGAGCGAAUGGGAAUUAGAAACCCUGGG